UGGAGCACCCUUUUUCACAGGUGUUUUCAGAGCACCCUUUUUUCAGAAAACACCCCCCUUGUUUUCACUGUUUUGGUUUAGCCCAACCCACAGCUCGAAGAACCUACAAGAAACAUACAGUAUAUCCGGUGGUUUGCUGAAUAUUUAUUAAAUUAAAUUAAAUUAAAUUUUAAGUGUUUCAUUUAAAGCCAGUCCUCCUCCUACACCAUGUCAAAGACACUGACAGUUUGGCAGCAUUUUACAAAAAAAAAGACAACCGAAAAUAAUCGAAUGAAAAGUUAGCAAGCAACAGUUGGCCUAUCACAGCUCGACAACAAACAUGGCAUAUCACCAAAAACCGGUCAGCAAACCUGUCUGUCAGUUAUUAUAAUAUGACAAAAUCAAUCAGAUAAAUAUUCCUCAAUAGUUUUACUGCUGAUAUCACUAGUUAUCAUAUCUCAUAUCUCUAUAUUUGUGGAAAUCAUGGACUGUGUCCGAGUCUCUUAAGUGCGUAAUUAAUUUCAGUGCAAAACAAUUAGGCCAAAACCGAUUUAUUAUAAAGCUAAUAGACUAUUAGUCUUUAUGUUUAGUUUUAAUUAAUUUAGGUGGACAAUACUGACAAGCACUGCUUAGUUUCCUUAUUUAAGCUGAACUCUUUAAUAAUAAAAUAAAGGUUGACCCAAAACACACUAUUUCUAUGAUGUUUGGUCUGUUGAAGGGGGAAAAAAAGUUUAAUUCUACAACAUAACACCAAUAUAAGGAUGCAAUUUUUAUUGUUUUGGGGGGUAAUUUUGCCAACUUUACAAUAAAAUUGUGUUUUUUAUGAAGCGGUGUUACAAUGUGCUAUUGUGUUUUACAGAGACGGUUUAUUCAGAGAGAGGCCUGACUGUGACAUCGUCUGGACUCAGGCCUGGUCUCUGCCUGCCACUCCAUACAUACCACAUGACUCAUCCUCCAUCUGUGCUUCCCUCCAGGUUUGCACCUUACCUUUCCAUCUGCCUCCUCUUUUCCUGCCAUCACUGUUUCCUUAAAAAAAAAAACCUAUUUCUCCUCGCCUUAAUAAACUGUUGUGUACAUCUGGCUAAAUGUUGUAUGUCAGCGCCACUGUUUAAAAAAAAAAAAAGCCUGACAUCAGCAUAUUCACAUAUACACAGUUCAAAAGUGGUCGUAUUGAUUUAAUGGGUCUUUGUUGAAUUCUGCACUGCACCUCAUUCAGAAUCGGUUUCUAUGGCGACUCUUUUGGUUAUCCAAAUGUUCAAAAUAUUCAUGGACCUCACCAGCUGUGUGUGAAUGUGUGUGUGUGAGAUUAAUUCAUUGCUUUCACUUUGAAGUAAGAAAAAAAAGGGCUUUAUUUUGCAUUAAAAAAAAGAAAUGUUCAUUUUGAAUUAGAGGGACUCUUUGAGCUACAAGAUCAAAACAGUCACAUCCCAUAAUGUACAAAAACAGCAUUGUCAGCAUUUCUAUACAGAGAAAAUCCUUUCUCAUUACAGCAGGUUAACUUCAUAUUUAGCACUGUGUGGAAGCCCUUUCCAAGGACAUGUGUCCCAGCAUCACUAAUACUCCUCAUAUUAUAAUACAUAACACAUUGUACCUAACAGAAAUGUUUAACAUCCAACCACUGAUUUAAUGCUUUCUUAUAAUGAUCCCUUAAAGGUUCAUCAUCUGGAAUAUAUUACUAUGACCAUGUCAUCAAAGACUAAAUGUGUAAAAAUACAAACAGCCAACCUGACAUUUUACUCAGCAGUAAACAGUGUCAGGUCCAAA